rnacentral:misc_RNA from 1 species
UCAAACUUGGUCAUUUAGAGGAAGUAAAAGUCGUAACAAGGUUUCCGUAGGUGAACCUGCGGAAGGAUCAUUAACAAGUCCGUCCCUGUAUGUGGGACAUUUGUUCCGUGUGCAUGUCACGUGCACAUUGAUACAUUUCUGUCGAUUGUCUGAUUAUUUUGACCAAUUAAAUGACUUUUAACAAUGGAUCUCUAGGCUCCUUCAGAUGUGUAUAAGAGACAGUCAAACUUGGUCAUUUAGAGGAAGUAAAAGUCGUAACAAGGUUUCCGUAGGUGAACCUGCGGAAGGAUCAUUAACAAGUCCGUCCCUGUAUGUGGGACAUUUGUUCCGUGUGCAUGUCACGUGCACAUUGAUACAUUUCUGUCGAUUGUCUGAUUAUUUUGACCAAUUAAAUGACUUUUAACAAUGGAUCUCUAGGCUCCUGCAUCGAUGAAGAACGCAGC